AUUGAACGCUGGCGGCAUGCCUUACACAUGCAAGUCGAACGGUAACAGGUCUUCGGAUGCUGACGAGUGGCGAACGGGUGAGUAAUACAUCGGAACGUGCCCGAUCGUGGGGGAUAACGGAGCGAAAGCUUUGCUAAUACCGCAUACGAUCUACGGAUGAAAGCAGGGGACCGCAAGGCCUUGCGCGGACGGAGCGGCCGAUGGCAGAUUAGGUAGUUGGCGGGAUAAAAGCUUACCAAGCCGACGAUCUGUAGCUGGUCUGAGAGGACGACCAGCCACACGGGGACGGAGACACGGCCCAGACUCCUACGGGAGGCAGCAGUGGGGAAUUUUGGACAAUGGGCGCAAGCCUGAUCCAGCCAUGCCGCGUGCAGGAUGAAGGCCUUCGGGUUGUAAACUGCUUUUGUACGGAACGAAAAGACUCUGGUUAAUACCUGGGGUCCAUGACGGUACCGUAAGAAUAAGCACCGGCUAACUACGUGCCAGCCGCCGCUGUAAAAC
rnacentral:rRNA from 1 species